rnacentral:rRNA from 1 species
AUUGAACACUGGUGGCAUGCCUUACACAUGCAAGUCGAACGGUCACAGGGCUUCGGAUGCUGACGAGUGGCGAACGGGUGAGUAAUACAUCGGAACGUGCCUAGUAGUGGGGGAUAAGUACUCGAAAGAGUGGCUAAUACCGCAUGAGAUUGGCGGAUGAAAACAGGGGCUCGGAGGACCUUGAGCUACUAGAACGGCCUAUGGCAGAUUAGAUAGUUGGUGGGCUAAAGGCUUACCAAGCCGACGAUCUGUAGCUGGUCUGAGAGGACGAUCAGCCACACUGGGACUGAGACACGGCCCCGACUCCUACGGGAGGCAGCCGUGGGGAAUUUUGGACAAUGGGCGCAAGCCUGAUCCAGCAAUGCCGCGUGCAGGAUGAAGGCCUUCGGGUUGUAAACUGCUUUUGUACGGAACGAAAAGCCCUGGGUUAAUACCCUGGGGUCAUGACGGUACCGUAAGAAUAAUCACCGGCUAACUACGUGCCAGCCGCCGCCGUAAUAC